rnacentral:rRNA from 1 species
UCAGGUAGGGAUACCCGCUGAACU